rnacentral:rRNA from 1 species
GUGGGGAAUAUUGGACAAUGGGCGCAAGCCUGAUCCAGCAAUGCCGCGUGCAGGAAGAAGGCCUUCGGGUUGUAAACUGCUUUUGUACGGAACGAAACGGUCCGGGUUAAUACCCUGGGCUAAUGACGGUACCGUAAGAAUAAGCACCGGCUAACUACGUGCCAGCAGCCGCGGUAAUACGUAGGGUGCAAGCGUUAAUCGGAAUUACUGGGCGUAAAGCGUGCGCAGGCGGUUUUGUAAGACAGGCGUGAAAUCCCCGGGCUCAACCUGGGAAUUGCGCUUGUGACUGCAAGGCUGGAGUGCGGCAGAGGGGGAUGGAAUUCCGCGUGUAGCAGUGAAAUGCGUAGAUAUGCGGAGGAACACCGAUGGCGAAGGCAAUCCCCUGGGCCUGCACUGACGCUCAUGCACGAAAGCGUGGGGAGCAAACAGGAUUAGAUACCCCAGUAGUCC